rnacentral:rRNA from 1 species
UACGUAGGUGGCAAGCGUUAUCCGGAUUUACUGGGUGUAAAGGGCGUGUAGGCGGGACUGCAAGUCAGAUGUGAAAACCAUGGGCUCAACCCAUGGCCUGCAUUUGAAACUGUAGUUCUUGAGUGAUGGAGAGGCAGGCGGAAUUCCGUGUGUAGCGGUGAAAUGCGUAGAUAUACGGAGGAACACCAGUGGCGAAGGCGGCCUGCUGGACAUUAACUGACGCUGAGGCGCGAAAGCGUGGGGAGCAAACAGG